rnacentral:lncRNA from 1 species
AGCUGGUGGUGGAGCACCCUUUUAGCUGAUGAGAAGCCCUCAAUCACUGCCAGCUGCACGCUGCCCCUGAACUCUAUCUUGCAACUCCCACCUUCCUAGAAGAUGUUACACAGCCAUGCUUUAGUGAGCUAUCAAUUAAGGGAAUAUAGCUACCCUAAGGAAGGUUCUACACCCACCCCACUUCCUUAGUGAUACACUACACCCUUCUAUGAAGCUUGCAACUGGAAUGUUUCUUGAGUUGCAGCUCUUCCAUGUGCCCCAGGACAGCCUGCUGGAGAAGGGCAUCUUUGUCCCAGCACAGUGGAUUGAGGUUUUCCUGUUGUUUGUGGGCUGCUACAGGGCUGGGUCCUCUGUGUGCAUGAAUUGUGAAGUGUGCCUGCAGUCCAGCCACGUCCUGAGCCCCCACACCAAGUGCAGAUGGAUUGGUUCUUUGGCCAUUACCUCCAAGGCACUUGUUAGGGGAUGUUUGAAUGCACUGAAGCGUUAAGAGACUGAUAGCUUGUUAAAACAGCAGAGGGGCUGCUGUUGGAGGGGAGGCAAAGAAGAAAGUGAGGACAGAAUCUGAAGAAACUUCUUUUGCAAGGAAGAUUAAAAGAAUUUCAAACGGAGGGGAAAAAAAGAUCUGUGUUCAGAUCUUCUGGUUGCACACUUGAAAAUCAAAUGAGCUGGAAAAUUUGUUUGGCUGCUUUUAUGAGCAUUGAUCUUUUAUGAUUGCAUCAGGACACUGGACCUGGUAUGCGCAUAUACGUGCCCAGGCAGGUUGUGAAAACCCACUCUUGGUAAAUUUACAGCUGUUCCGUGCUGAAUGUGCUCUGUGAAAGAUACACAGCAGUUUUUAAGUCAGCCAGUUUAAGGCUGUGCCUUAUGUAUGAUGAUUUUCCAGGCAAGCUGAGGUUUUAGCAAUGUGCAGAAAUGUCAGCUCUCUCUUGGGUUGUGAUGAGGAGAUGUGUGGGUAAAUUUUGAAUGCAGACUUCCAAAGUCCAUUUUUUCUAGCUAAAAUCUCUUCUAGCCAGCUCUAACUUAUUAGAAUGAGAAUGUGCUUUUGAAAUGCAUUGAUAGCUUCCCCUUUUGGACUGGAUCUUGAAACUGACAUUCUCUUCCUUACUGCCAGGAUGAUCUUUGUACCUAUUCUGUUAUCUUCUGUUCUCUGUGGUCUUAAUAUUUCUGGUAUCUGAAAUGUUGUAGUGAUAACACCAAGAAGAGUGUAGGGCCUUAUAUUGUUGUAGUGAAGAGUGAAGGCUUCCUUAUGAAGGCCAGUUGCCAUAAGGAUGUGCUCAUGUUCGAUCACAUUUCUAUGUACCCCUGCAAAACAAGUUCCUUAAAACAAUCACCAAAAUCAUUUACAAAAUGUCCGCUCACUUGAAAAAAUCUGUCCAUUGAAAUAGAAGGAAACAACAUCCUGACCUUGUGCACAUGUGACAGUGAGCAGAGACCAGCUGAAAUUAAUAUCUUCUUUUCCAGAAUUUGAUGGAUAUUUUGGAGUAACA